GGCAACAUGGCCGAGUGGUUAUGGCGCGGUGUUCAGGCAGGUUUCGCUCGAUUCGUCAGCGAGACAGCAUGGACUCGCCGUGGGAAACCUCGUGGGUUCGAAUCCCACUGUUGUCA